rnacentral:snoRNA from 1 species
GAGUGAAAUGAUGCUCAACCAUCUUUCGGGACUUACCCAAAAAAAUGGGGAUAUUUUUUUUCCUUACUGAUCACUC